rnacentral:rRNA from 1 species
GGACAGAAAGACCCUAUGAAGCUUGACUGUAGCUUGAAAUUGGGUUCGGGCUCUUCUUGCGCAGCCUAGGUGGGAGGCUAUGAAGAUAAACUUUUGGGUUUAUUGGAGCCAUCAGUGAGAGACCACUCUGGAGGAGCUAGAAUUCUAAUGGCGUUCCUUGAAGCAGGACGCUUGACAGUUUCAGGUGGGCAGUUUGACUGGGGCGGUCACCUCCUAAAAGGUAACGGAGGUGUGCAAAGGUUCCCUCAGGCUGGACGGAAAUCAGCCGUAGAGUGUAAAGGCAGAAGGGAGCUUGACUGCAAGACCUACAAGUCGAGCAGGGGCGAAAGCCGGCCUUAGUGAUCCGACGGUUCCGUGUGGAAGGGCCGUCGCUAAACGGAUAAAAGUUACUCUAGGGAUAACAGGCUGA